rnacentral:rRNA from 1 species
AUCAUGGCUCAGGAUGAACGCUGGCGGCGUGCCUAACACAUGCAAGUCGAGCGUGAUGCUCUGGAUUGAGGCUUCGGCUGAUUGAAAGAGUUGAAAGCGGCGGAACGGGUGAGUAACGCGUAGGCAACCUGCCCCUUACAGAGGGAUAGCCACUGGAAACGGUGAUUAAUACCUCAUAAUGCGAGAGAACCUCCUGGCUCUUUCGGCCAAAGAUUUAUCGGUAAGGGAUGGGCCUGCGUCUGAUUAGCUAGUUGGUGAGGUAACGGCCCACCAAGGGCAACGAUCAGUAGCCGACCUGAGAGGGUAAUCGGCCACAUUGGAACUGAGACACGGGUCCAAACUCCUACGGGAGGCAGCAGUGGGGAAUAUUGCACAAUGGGCGCAAGCCUGAUGCAGCAACGCCGCGUGAACGAAGAAGGUCUUCGGAUUGUAAAGUUCUGUCCUUGGGGAAGAAACAAAUGACGGUACCCUUGGAGGAAGCCCCGGCUAACUACGUG